rnacentral:tRNA from 1 species
GCUGGGAUGGCGAAAUGGUAGACGCGCAGUCUUGAGGAGGCUGUGCCGCAAGGCGUGGAGGUUCAAGUCCUCUUCCCAGCA